rnacentral:rRNA from 1 species
UACAGAGGGUGCGAGCGUUAAUCGGAAUUACUGGGCGUAAAGCGCGCGUAGGCGGCUUUUCAAGUCGAUUGUGAAAUCCCCGGGCUUAACCUGGGAACUGCAGUCGAGACUGUCUAGCUAGAGUAUGGGAGAGGGAAGUGGAAUUUCAGGUGUAGCGGUGAAAUGCGUAGAUAUCUGAAGGAACAUCAGUGGCGAAAGCGACUUCCUGGACCAAUACUGACGCUCAUGUGCGAAAAGCUAGGGUAGCAAACGGG